CUCAGUUGGUAGAGCAGCUCACUCGUAAUGAGCAGGUCAGGAGUUCGAGUCUCCUCACCA
rnacentral:tRNA from 1 species